GGUUAGGGUUUUCAUGUAAAAUAGGUUAGGGUUAGGGUUUUUAAUUAAAUUAAGUUAGGUUAGGGUUUUUAAUUAAGUUAGGUUAGGG